rnacentral:rRNA from 1 species
AGAGUUUCAUCCUGGCUCAGGAUAAACGCUGGCGGCGUGCCUGACACAUGCAGGUCGAACGAACUUUAGCAAUAGAGUUAGUGGCGGAAGGGCGCGUAACACGUAGGUGACCUACCUCAUCGGAGGGAAUAACUAAUCGAAAGAUUGGCUAAUACCCAAAAGGCUUAGUGCAUCGGAGCAAUAAGCAGAGGCGAGCAAUCGGCCUGAUGAGAGGGACCUGCGGCCCAUCAGCUAGUUGGAGAGGUAACGGCUCACCAAGGCAACGACGGGUAGGGGCUCUGAGAGGAAAUCCCCCCACACUGGAACUGAAAUACGGUCCAGACACCUACGGGUGGCAGCAGUGAGGAAUAUUGGUCAAUCUGCGAAAGCGGGAACCAGCAACGCCGCGUGAAGGAAGAAGGCCCUCGGGUUGUAAACUUCUUUAGGGGAAGACGAGAAAGGACGGUAUUCCCAAAAUAAGCAACGGCAAACUACGUGCCAGCAGCCGCGGUAAUACGUAGGUUGCGAGCGUUAUCCGGAUUUACUGGGCGUAAAGCGCUUGUAGGCGGUAAUAUAAGUUGGGCGUGAAACCUCUGGGCUUAACCCGGAGCAUGCGCACAAUACUGUAAUACUAGAGGGUGUCAGAGGAAAACGGAAUUCCCGGUGUAGUAGUGAAAUGCGUAGAUAUCGGGAGGAACAUCAGUGGCGAAGGCGGUUUUCUGGGACAUUACUGACGCUGAGAAGCGACAGCUAGGGGAGCAAACAGGAUUAGAAACCCUGGUAGUCCUAGCCGUAAACGAUGGAUGCUAGGCGUUGGCAGACUCAAUCCUGUCCGCGCCGAAGUUAACACGAUAAGCGUCCCGCCUGGGAAGUACGACCGCAAGGUUAAAACUCAAAGGAAUUGACGGGGACCCGCACAAGCAGCGGAGCGUGUGGUUUAAUUCGAUGCUACACGAAGAACCUUACCCGGACUUGACAUAUAGAUGGUAGAGAAGAGAAAUUGGAUCGACUCGCAAGAGAGUUUAUACAGGUGUUGCAUGGCUGUCGUCAGCUCGUGUCGUGAGAUGUUCGUUUAAGUACGCUAACGAGCGCAACCCUCAUUGCCAGUUACAAGUGUCUGGCGAGACUGCCGGCCGCAAGCCGGAGGAAGGCGGGGAUGACGUCAAGUCAGCAUGGCCUUUAUGUCCGGGGCUACACACACGCUACAAUGGGAUGGAACAAUGGGAAGCCAAGCCGUGAGGCGGAGCAAAUCCUAGUAAAACAUUCCUCAGUUCAGAUUGCAGGCUGCAACUCGCCUGCAUGAAGUUGGAGUUGCUAGUAAACGCGCGUCAGCUAUAGUGCGUUGAAUACGUUCCCGGGUCUUGUACACACCGCCCGUCACACUAUGGGAGCUGGUAACACCUAAAGACAUUGGCUUAACCGCGAGGAGAGUAAUGUUUAGGGUGGGGUCGGUGACUGGAGUGAAGUCGUAACAAGGUA